UGAACUCAGGACCUCUGGAAGAGCAGUCAGUGUUCUUAACCGCUGAGCCAUCUCUCCAGCCCCACAGUUGAAUUUUUAACUCUGGGUCCCCCUCUCCCCCUGGACUCGAAAUAAACACAGUACUCUUUUGCAGGAAGUUCCUAUAGUCACAAGUGGGAAACAACCGGUGGUCUCUAGCGAGCUGUGUUGCUGCUAAGUGACGACGUUAAAGGUAGCAAGUGCCCUUUCCCCCGCUACCUGGCAUGUAGCAUAUCACGACUUACUGGAAAUGGUUCGUGAUACAUCAAGGAGCAUCCACGAUUUAAACUGGGGGUGAGGAAGCUGUCACCCAAGGGCUUUCUGAGGAAAUCCUAAAGUGGCAUCUAGAAGGAGUGAGUAGGGAGGGCGGGGACAUGACCUGAGGAUGUACUGGGAACGCAGGCAGAGCAACCGGAGAGGACAAGAGCAUGUCCACCCACGCCAAGGCCGAAGGGCCACGCUUUGGGAACAGGAAGAGAGACAAAACGGGCAAGGUCCAGACACCUGGUACCCAGGGACCUCCCUCUUCAGAAGGGAUCCUGGAUACCGAGAUCUCAGCCACACCCAGGCUGAUACCUCGACUUUAGGAACCCCAGCCAAGCGCUCACGGACCACGGACUCCUCCUCACUGACUGAAUCCGAUUUGCUUAGGCCCUUCCUCAAAGCCUGAAGGAGAACCACAUGUGAUAGAGUGUGCUGGGCAGCGGUAAGAAGAUAGAGUGUCAACUACCCGUCUGUGCAUCCCGUGCUGUGUCUGGGACCCAUUUCUCCAGUGAACGCUGCUAAGCACCUGUUGUAUGCCCCGCACUCACGUCACAGUUAGAGCAUGUGAGGAGGGCCACAAAGGACAAGCCCACCCUGUCCUUGUCCUGCUGUUCCAAGUACUGUAGAGGGCGGAUAGGUUGGCACGCCACCCCCUCGGGCAGGCUCACCUGCCACCUCUCCUGUUUAUUCACCUCCCUAAUCACCCUGGGGUUGGCCAGGUUGGCACAGGACCACCAUGAAUGCUAUUAUGAGGAUGCUCGUUGCUGGGAACCCGUACCAACUUGGAAAAGCGGAUGGGGUAAGCACCAGCCAGAGCCUCUUUGUUGUUCAGGGAAAAAAAGGCAUUUUCCGUUAGCCCUGUCACCUGGUGGGCGGCACAGUCCCUUUAUUUCAUCAUCAGAGGAAUGGAGGAUUGGGAUAGGAAGAGUAUUAGAUGCCCCAGCUCACUCAGUCCAUCCAGCACACUGUUCUGGGGGGAGUUGAGUUCCUCCUGUCCAGGGCCCCUACCACUCCAGGGUUAUACAAAGUAAGGUCUCUGGGGGUCAGUGGACCCAGAGCUGGGGUUGAGAAGAACACAUAAUAAAUAAAUAAAUAAAUAAAUAAAUAAAUAAAUAAAUAAAUAUUUUAGAAAACUGCCCUUUCCAAUUCAAACCGGUUCAGUUCAGCUCCCCGAUUCUGUGUUAUCUCCAGCAAGGAGCUUGAUCUCUCUGAGCCUCAGUUGCUUCGUCUGGGAAAUGGGGAAGCACAGCAUUUUCUGCCUCGUCGGAAGAUUCCGGAGAUUAGUAAUGAUAGCCGUCACGUCUCUGGUGCUGACACCAAGCCAGGCACCCGGGGCUUCUCAUGAGGUCAUGUGUGGAAGCCCUGGCCUCUGGCCAGCCAGGAGUCAAGCCCCAUCACGGGAGGCACGGUUCAGUUUCACAAUAGCGCUGGUGCUCAGCGCAUGUGGUUAACGUUUAACAGUGGAAGAAGUUUAGCAAGCCCUAGGCACAUAGUAAGCGCUCGAUAAAUGGCCUUCAUUAUAAGCCAGAGAAUGGGGACCUGUGUGUGGAAGUCCCAUGACAAAGAAUGUGGAGAGGUAGGCGGCCCAAGGUGAUGCUUCCGUCUAUUUCUUUCUCCCCAGGAGGGCCAGCCCUGUGUGUGUUAGCCAGCUCCCCAGGCUGGGACGUCAGUUCUUACUCACUCUCCCCAGGGAGAAGCUUAAUUAGCCUCCCAGCAGCCAGGAGCACCCCAGAUGAAAGGGGCUGAAUGCAUGGGGUGCUGGAAAUAGAGCACAUCAGACAGGAGGGUUCGCUCGGCUGCACGACACACCCCAGGCACAAGAAGAAGAGAUAAGAACUCCAGUGCCUAGCAGUCUCUGCUCACCAUGACGAGGACGAAAGUCACAUGUCAGAUGCAGAGGUCACAAGCGCGUCACUUCUCCACAUGAUACCCUGGACCAAAAAAAAAAAAAGAUCAGCUGCUGAGGCAGGGAAAGCUGACGUGGGCAGACUCAGAGACAGGGUUGAGGGUCCAGGUUUGUAGCAUGGGAAACUUUUUUUUUACCCUCAGAGCUGAGGACUGAACCCAGGGCCUUGCACUUGCUAGGCAAGCGCUCUACCACUGAGCUAAAUCCCCAACCCCCAAGCAUGAGAAUCUUGAUCCACAUCUGGCAAAGCAGAUGUGGCAGUCCCCUCUGCCUCUGGCAGUCUGGUCCAGUGAGGCCAAGAGCUGCGUAACCACCAUGUCCCUGCCUAGGGUCUGGGAAUUCAUUCAUUCAUUCAUUCAUUCACUCACUCACUCAUUGCCAGUCACUCUACUGGGCAACAAGGAUAGAAAGAUUGAGCGUAAUAACAAAUCCAGAGUCCCUGUGCUUAAAGUAGAGCAAGGCUGAGGACCUGACUCUGGGAGAGCACUCGACAGCGUGUGAGCAAGCUGGGUUUGACCCUCGGACUGCCAAAAAGAAAUAGCUAAGUAUUAAAGUGGCCUGAGGGCCAGACCAGCAAUGGCCACGUGUCAUCAGCAAGGCCAGGGGAAGUACCCAACCUGUGGGCAGUGGUAGCCAGAGGGUGGGGACAGAGUGCGCAGAUGCAUCCCACAACCCCACCCCACCCUCCGUCUCGAUCAGUCUGUCUCCACCAAAGCGGGCUUCCUGGUGAAGCAGGCCAAUAACAAGAGCCUGGCACCUCUACCCGCACCUGUGUCUGGUGCAGGCAAGUGGCGUUGUCCAGCCAAGGAGUCAGAGAAGGGAAGAGGGCACCCCUCCCCCACACACACUGCAUCACCAGGGACCCAUGGCGUCAUUCCAGGAGACAGUAUGGGGUGCUGGGCUGAGCUGAAUGGCAGGGGGGCUUUCUCGGGACAAACACUGCCCCCAGCAUUGUGCCACCCCCUCAUAACAGAGCGCUUCCUAGAUUCCAGGCAUGUAUUUCUUAAACCACUAAGAUGUUGCCAAAGACUUUCCCAAGGCCACAGGGCUAGUGUGCAGAGGAUUUGUACUGUGCUCUGACUCACCCCAGAAUUUACACACACAGUUCGACAUAUCCCCCAAGCAAGGCAGCAUUUAUUUUCCUAGAGGAGCCCACAAUGGUCCCCUGUGUACCAAGCAGGCUCCUAGUCAGGCAGGCUGCAGAGAAGUGAGGGACGAAAUCAUCCAACACAGAGUCCCCACCUCAGCCAUGCUCCAUCCAGCCUCUCUCCCUCCCCUGCCCGGUCUCAGCCGGCUGGUCCACAGGCAAGAAGUCCUUCCUGCCUCCGGGAAAGCCACAGAGGAGCUGGAGGGAGCUGUCCCCACUAGGUCCAAGUGAGUAGACUUGGACCUGGAGAAGGAAGAGAACUGGAUGAGAAUUCUAGGUCCUGGUGGUCCAUGGGCCUCAGCUAGGAGCAAAAUGAUCCCUUCAAGCCUGUUCACACCUCCUCCGGCAGCUGUCCUGAGGAACUGCCUUGGUGGAGAUCUGAGGGAGCAAGCUAGGUCUUGCUCCAGGUACCUUGACUGACCUGAGGAAGCCCCAGAUGCCCUUCAGGGAAUCAGGCAGAGGGAAAGGGGUGCAUGCGUGGGAAGGUGGCUGAUUAUCAUCUUCCAUUUCAGGGGUGGGGCGCGGCCACCUGCCUGGCAAAUAUAGCCUUGUUGUUUGGCAGGGAUGAGCCCCUGCCUGUCUCAGGCUCGCCAAGGGUCAGACAGGGUAACAGGUCUCUGAGAGCCCACCAACCUGAGCUUCAUUGUCUGGGUUCCGGCUAAAACACUUCACACGCAUCAAUUCUGAAGCCAGUCUUGAAAUUCACUCUGGGAUGAGGACACUGAGGCCCAGAGAGAUUUGAGAAAUGUGCCCAUGGCCGUAUGGUCAAUCGGGAUGUGUGUUCGGUGCCUCUGACUCCAAAAGUUCUGUCUUUAAUGCCCACUUAGGGCUUUUCUGUUGACUGUGCCCAACAGCAGAAUCAGCAACAGAGACGUCGUAUGAAGGAGGUAGUAGAUGCAUGAACUUUUUCCCAGUACCCAAGCUGAUGAGUAAGUGUAUCAGUGAGUGGAGACGUGGAUCGGUGUGUGGAGAAGUGGGCCAGUGAGAAGAGGAGGAGUACAUCAGUGAGUGGAGACGUGGAUCAGUGAGUGGCUGAGUGGACCAGACACUGGAUGAGUGGGUCAAUGAGUGGAUAGUUAUAUCAGUGAGUGGCUGAGUGGACCAGUCACCGGAUGAGUGCAUUGGUGCACAGAUGAGUGGGUCAGUGAAUGGAUGGGUGUAUCGGGGCGUGCAUCAGUGAAUGGGCAAGUGAGCCAUAGUCAGGUGGUCAGGAGUAUGGGGAUGGUGAUUGAAUACGUGAAUACGUAGGAGAGCGGGGUGGUAGACAGGUAGCAGGUGGAUAAAUGGCCUGGCUAGAGGCAGACACGGUGGCUGUUCUGUUAAAUGGCUUUCUGGAGAGAUGCAAGAAGGAAUGUGGCUUCUGAGAAAUAGGGUGACUCUUUGGGAUGCUGGCACAGCAGGAAGAGUACCCCCCAGAUCUCCCUCCCUGGAAGGAAGCCUUCAGAAAACCAUACUCGGGGGGCCCCAGGACCCUGUCUGCUAUGGCCGCCCAGUGACUGGCUAGGUCAAUCAUUGAUGGAUCUUUGAGAGCUUCAUUGCUUAAGAGGACCCUGGGAUUGACCUGCUGACCCCUGGCAGGGAGGAAAAGAGGAAGGAGAGAGAGGUGGGGACAGGGUGGUCAAGAGGCCCUAGUUGCUGACCUUGGAAGGCAGGGAGGCCUGGUCUGGGUCUUAGGGGGGAUUUACUGCCCCAGCCCUAUUUAUAUAAGAAAGAGGAUACAAGGUGGUAUGGAAAUAGUUGACCAAAGGGAUCAUUGGUAUAACCAGGAAGUUCCACUGGGUCUUUCCCUUCUGGGUUAAGGUCUCACUUAGAUCUAGACUAGGGGGUGAGGUAGACUGGACUGGUCUCAGGUGUGGAGCUACCCUGGCAAAUGUGGGCAAGAAGGAGGCUAUUGUUUAGAUGUAGUUCUGUGUGUCAGGAACCUGGGAGGAGAGGUGAUCAGGGGCCUAUGAGUCCAUCCUAACACCUUCUGUGAGAAACACAGGGAAAGUCACCUGGCUAACUCCAGGUUGAUUGUGGGAGUUAAAGUGCACACAGAGAAACCCCUCAUCCCCCCAGCCAGACCCAGGCAACUCUCUGGAGGAAACUGAGGCAAGCCAGGGGAAGGUACUAGCCAGUGAGUCUCUGAAGGGCAAAUUCCAAAUUCCGUUCAGCCCUGAGACAAAGAAUGACAAGAGAAUCCUAGAGGGGAGUGAGAAUGCCUUCCAAAGACGCUUCGAGAUGCUUUAGCUAGGCUACACAGCCAAAUACCAGAAGACAGGUUAACAGGAGAAAAAUCGUAUUCAAUCUGAUGUUUGCACACAGUCACACAAAAACAGGAGACUUGAGCAACAAAGUCACAUGACUUGAGUUUACAUGGCAACCUGAGCUCAGACAGGAAUCAGGAUACGGGGCAUCUGGGAGGCCACUGGCAUACUGCAGAGGACAGAGGCAGAACUGCCAUGUGAGCAGUGCUUGUCUUGC